AUGAGUUUUCUGUUCCAGAUCUCAUUGAUACUCUUGUUAUGGAAGAAAAGGCGAGAGCAAAGGACACACAUGCUCGAGGUAUUGAGGGGGGGAUCUAGUGCCAAUCUGGUACAGAAGAAGAACUUCCAGCCCCACAAGUUCAAGAACAAGGGCAAGUUUGAUGGUAAAGCAAAGUUUGAUGGGAAGAACAAGGCUGUGAAGCACACGAACUUCAAGAAGAAGAAUGGCAAGAAGAAAGGUGUUUAUCAUGUGUGUGGAGAUCCCGAUCAUUGGGCUCCUAGUUGCCCUAAUCGCUAUGACAAGCGUCAUGUUGGGAAAGGCGGCAAGACCGCUAAUGUUGUCAUUGGAAACACUGACAUGAAGGAUGCUGGGUAUGGUAUAUUUUCCACUAUUAUUUCAGUAUGUCAUUCUCCUGAUUGGUUGAUUAACAUAGGUGCUAAUGUGCAUGUAUGCGGUGAUAUUUCUAUGUUUUAG
rnacentral:rRNA from 1 species